rnacentral:rRNA from 1 species
CAGCUCCAAUAGCGUAUAUUAAAGUUGUUGCAGUUAAAAAGCUCGUAGUUGGAUCUAGGGACGCGCAUUUCAAGCGCCCGUGCCAUCGGGUCAAACCGGUGGCUGCGUUGGCGUUGCGGGCUCGGUCCGUCGGUGCUCACAAAAGCAUCGGCGUGUCAACCGGCCCGCCCGUCCCCUCCUUCUGGAUUCCCGUUCCUGCUAUUGAGUUAGUGGGGACGUCACAGGGGGCUCAUCGUCGUGUCCAUGCAAAUGGCGCACGGCGGUGGGUCCCUGGGGCCCAGAUCGUUUACCGUGAAAAAAUUAGAGUGUUCAAAGCAGGCAGAUCCAAUUUUCUGCCACCGAAUACAUUAGCAUGGGAUAAUGGAAUAGGACCCUGUCCUCCUAUUUUCAGUUGGUUUUGGCAGCGCGAGGACUAGGGUAAUGAUUAAUAGGGAUAGUUGGGGGCAUUAAUAUUUAAUUGUCAGAGGUGAAAUUCUUGGAUUUAUGAAAGAUUAACUUCUGCGAAAGCAUCUGCCAAGGAUGUUUUCAUUAAUCAAGAACGAAAGUUAGGGGAUCGAAGACGAUCAGAUACCGUCGUAGUCUUAACCAUAAACGAUGCCGACCAGCGAUUAGGAGACGUUGAAUACAAAACACCACCAUCGGCGCGGUCGUCCUUGGCGUGUCUCGGCUUCACGGCUGGGGCGCGCGAGGGCGGUUAGCCC